rnacentral:rRNA from 1 species
UACGUAGGGACCGAGCGUUGUCCGGAAUCAUUGGGCGUAAAGAGCGUGUAGGCGGCUAUUUAAGUCCUGCGUGAAAUCCUGCGGCUCAACCGCAGACGGUCGUGGGAAACUGGAUGGCUAGAGUGCGGGAGAGGAGAGUGGAAUUCCUGGUGUAGCGGUGAAAUGCGCAGAUAUCAGGAGGAACACCGAUGGCGAAGGCAGGUCUCUGGGCCGAUACUGACGCUGAGGAGCGAAAGCGUGGGGAGCGAACAGG